rnacentral:piRNA from 1 species
UGCAAGCACAGACCUAGGACAGUUACAGUC